AUUGAACGCUGGCGGCAUGCCUUACACAUGCAAGUCGAACGGCAGCACGGGAGCAAUCCUGGUGGCGAGUGGCGAACGGGUGAGUAAUACAUCGGAACGUGCCCAGUAGUGGGGGAUAACCCGGCGAAAGCCGGACUAAUACCGCAUACGACCUAUGGGUGAAAGCAGGGGAUCGCAAGACCUUGCGCUAUCGGAGCGGCCGAUGUCAGAUUAGCUUGNGGUGGGGUAAAAGCCCACCAAGGCGACGAUCUGUAGCUGGUCUGAGAGGACGACCAGCCACACUGGGACUGAGACACGGCCCAGACUCCUACGGGAGGCAGCAGUGGGGAAUUUUGGACAAUGGGCGCAAGCCUGAUCCAGCCAUGCCGCGUGCGGGAAGAA
rnacentral:rRNA from 1 species